rnacentral:rRNA from 1 species
GACGAACGCUGGCGGCGUGCUUAACACAUGCAAGUCGAACGGAAAGGCCCUGCUUUUGGGGGGUGCUCGAGUGGCGAACGGGUGAGUAACACGUGAGUAACCUGCCCUUGACUUUGGGAUAACUUCAGGAAACGGGGGCUAAUACAGGAUAGGAGCCCCUGCUGCAUGGGGGGGGUUGGAAAGUUUCGGCGGUUGGGGAUGGACUCGCGGCUUAUCAGCUUGUUGGUGGGGUAGUGGCUUACCAAGGCUUUGACGGGUAGCCGGCCUGAGAGGGUGACCGGCCACCUUGGGACUGAGGUACGGCCCAGACUCCUACGGGAGGCAGCGGUGUGGAAUAUUGCACAAUGGGCGGAAGCCUGGUGCAGCAACGCCGCGUGCGGGAUGACGGCCUUCGGGUUGUAAACCGCUUUCGCCUGUGACGAAGCGUGAGUGACGGUAAUGUGUCAAGAAGCACCGGCUAACUACGUG